AGGAGUUGUGGAGGGAAAGGCGCAGGCGGGAACCGGGGCUGCGCGCGGCGCUUCCGGGCCAGCGUGAGUUCCGGGUGGGCGUGGACUCGGCGGGCCCGGCACUCAGAGCGGCCUGCUGGCACCGCCUGCCCUGGGCAGUGAAGGGCUUAGCACCUGGUCCAGCAGCUGCUGUGCUCGACUUCUCGCGGGGCCUUAGCUGCCUCCCCGCGGGGCAGGGCUUGGGACCUGCAGCCCGCCAUGCCUGAGCCUCCCCCCGCCCCCGCCGUGGGCUCCUGUGCGGCCCGAGCCUCCCCGACGAGCGCCGCCCCCUGCUCCACGAUGCCCAGUCCCAUCGACCACCCAAGGGCUGAGGAGUGCGGGCUCACGGUUACAGGAUUCCCAUUUCAGAACUACGACCAUUUGAAAAAUAGAAGAUUUAAAGAUUGACGCAAAGUGCAUGUACCAUGAUACACCAGGUCUCAUCUCCUGAAUAUUUGUCCUGCCCUGAGUUUUCACCUGAGGCCACCUGUACAACUGACUAGAGUAGUUCCACUGAUUUCUAAAAUGGAACAGGCAGGAUUGGUAUUGACUGUCCAAGAGCAAAGUCAGAUACAGAAUUCCCACCUUUGAGUUGUUCCUGUGUUGCAAUAUUAUAAUAAGGCUCAAGCUACCAGAGACACCCACUGUCACACUGGAGCCUGCUUCUGACCAAAACAACCUCUGUCAAGCUAUAGACUGCUUCUGACCUCAGGUUUGCCAUUCUGAGCACAUAACAAAAAUAAAACAAGAAAAAGCAUAAGGUAUGAAAUGUUAUUCAAAAAAAGAAUGAUGAAACAAUGAACUAAAGCCUGGGCAGUAAAUAAUUCUGUCUUCAAGAUCCCACAUGGAAAUUUUUUUAGAAAGACUUCCUACCUUUCCUACUGUUUGUAAUGUGCAUCUGGAAUACUAGAGAAAGAGUCCCUAAGAUUUGCUGGAAAAAUACCUUAGCUUCUGAGUCUUAGCUUUAUUGCUAAUAAACACUGGAUUUCUGGUAGUAGAGAAGGAAAUUUAGUAUUUCAUGAUGAUGAAAGAUGAAAAGAGAGGCUUUAUGGCUGUACGAUUUGGGUAGAGCUUUUCAGUUAAUUAACGAGGAAAUAUCUGAAUUGAGUCAAUGAGGUACAGAGUUUAUUUCAUACAGAUACUUUUAAACUUCAUAAUGCCAUGACAUACCUGAUUUGUUACUAAUGUCCACAACUUAUCCACGUGUUUAUGGCAAAAAAAAAAAAAAAAAGUGCGUGAAGAAGAAAAUUAUAGUUUCAAAAAUUUCUAGAAUUUGGUUUCUGGAAGAAAAUACAAGUGUCUGUGUGUUUGUGUACAUAUAUUCUAGAUAGAUGAGCCAGUAAGAUAGAGUGAGCAUUAUUUUUUCUUAUCCAAAGAAAAAGAAAAGCAAUGCACAGGUAGAAGACCUGGUAAAUUUUGUAUCAUCAUAACCACCUAAAAGUUUCGUGUGGGAAGGUAAGUCAUAACUCCAAAUAUUUUUUUCUACUUAAAAAUUAAAAUUUGUACAAGAAUAUUUGAUCCAGAAGAAAGAAAUAUAUAUAUAAGGAAUUACUAGAAUUUUACAUUACUAAAGAGAAUUAAAACUAAAUUUAACAGAAAUUAUUGCAAUAUUUAUAUUUAAGUUUCUUGAGGACACACUUAAAUAUUACAUUUGUAAUUUGACUUUUAAUUUAUAAGAACUAUAUCAUUGGAUUAAAGAUAGUUUGAAAUGCUCUGCAUUCUAAUUCUAGUAAUUUCUUUUAUUAUGGUGUGAUGGAGAACCAUUGCAGGGCUUUAAGUAGAAGUUAGGCAUGAUCUAAUUUGUGUCCUAAAAGGAUCACUCCACUUUCUAUGCUACGAACACGAUACAGUGAGCAAGCGUAGAACCGGAGAGCACAGUUAAAGAGCUGUGUAAGAAUUGGGGCCAGUGAGGUACAUUCCCAGUGGUAGAAAUGGUGGUGGUGGGAAAUGGCUGGAAUUUGUAUUGUGUUUUGAAAUGAAAGACAAGUUUUGGUGCCCAGUAGAAUAUGAUCAGUAAGAGGAGACCCAGAGGCUUAAAAUUGACUCCACAGAGAUUUUUAGUCUCAGCAAUAGGAAAAGAGUUUUUAUCAGCUGAGAUGACGAAGAAACUGCCACUGGAGCAGUUUUGGAGUCAGGGAGGUCAGAAUAUCAGUUUUAGAAGGGCUAAGUUUGAUUGGCAAAUUAGAAACAUAAAAAGAGAUAUUUAACAGGCAUUUGUAUAUAUUAGUCUGGAGUUCUUGCAGAGGUCUGGCAGAAGAUAGAAGUUGAGAAUUCUUGGGGUUUUAUGAGAUCACCAAGAAAUAUGCAUAAAGAAAAGACUAAAAGAGAAUAUGUAAAACAUAAGUGCUCAGGGGGAAAAGAAUAUUCCAGAAACAGAGACUGAGAAGGAGUAACAGCAGAACGUUGAAGGGAAGCCAAGAGUAUGUGGUGUUUUGGAAGCUCAAUAAGGAACGAUGUCAAGAAGGAGAGAUACCUCUGCCAAAACUGAUGGUAGGUCCAGAAAGAUGACUGCCUAAAAUUGACCACUAAAUUUACACCAUAUGAGAGUCAAUAGUGACCAUAAGAAAAACAGCUUGUUGUCAUUGAGGUUUUUUGUUGUUGAGAAGCAGAGGAUGACAAGGAGAGGGCAAAAGCCAAAUAAAGGUAAGUUUAAGAAAGAAUGAGAAAAGGAGAAUGCAAACACUAAGAAUUUGGGACACUCUUGAAAAGUUUUACUAAAAAGGAAACUGGAGAAAUGGGAUACUCAUUGGGAAGAAGAAUUACGUGAAUGUCUUUUUAAAACCUGGAGAAUAACAUCAUAUCUACAUACAAUCGGAAAAGAUGUGGGAGAGAAAACAAACUGGCAAUGUAGGAGAUAGGAAACGUGCUAGAACAAUGUUCCUAACUAAAGUCUGCUUUUAAAAAAUCUACGAAAUUGGAGAGAUUGGCUUAAGAUAGAAGUUUGGAGAGUUCUAACAGAAAUGUUGCCUAAUAGAAUUAUAAUAUGAACAGCGUAGGUCAUUUUAAAUUUUCUAACAGCCGCACUAAAAAAAAAAAGGGUAAAAGAAGCAUGUGGAAUUCACUCUAAUAUGUGAUUUAACCCAAUAUAUCCAAAAUGUUAUUCUUUUGUUUCUUCUGUGCCAGUGAGUUUUCUAUUUGUCCGUGUUUUAUGAAGAUAGAUAUUGUCCUUUUGCUGCCAGAUGUAGGACUCCCUUAAGCAUUUCUUGUAGGGCUGAUCUAGUGGUGAUGAAUUACCUUGGUUUCUAUUUGUGUGGGAAAGAUUUUAUUUCUGCUUCAUUUUUGAAGGAUAGCUUCUUAAUAUAACAAAUUGAAUGAGAUAUUUUACAUUUAAUUUUUAUACUCUCUGUGAAUCUAAUGUGAUUUUUACCUGACAGCACAUCUCACUUUGAGCUAGCCUCAUUCACUUCCUAUGCUCCACAGCCGCAUGUGGACAGCAGCUAUUGUAUUGGAAAGCAUAGGUCUAUAAGAAAUUUUAGGCAGGCAGAUAGAAUACGUAGAUGCAAGCGCUGGGAAAUGUGGAGUAGUCAAGAGUUGUGAUGAUGAGAGUUUAUGAAAUCUAUUUUCUAAGAACUUCAUUUUACAUGGAGAAGAGGAAAUGACAGAAAGUUAAAUGCGAGGAUGUUGUGGAAAGAUGCUGAAGGUUUAUGAAAAAGACAAAGUAUGAAAUUUCCAAAGAAUAUGGGAAUGU